GGGGUUGUAAGUUAGUGGUAGAGCACAUGCCUAGCAAGCAUGAGACCCUGGGUUGGAUCCCCAGCACCACA
rnacentral:tRNA from 1 species